rnacentral:rRNA from 1 species
UGGGGAAUUUUGGACAAUGGGGGCAACCCUGAUCCAGCCAUGCCGCGUGCGGGAAGAAGGCCUUCGGGUUGUAAACCGCUUUUAGUCGGAAAGAAAAGACACGCCCUAAUACGGCGUGUUCUUGACGGUACCGGCGGAAUAAGCACCGGCUAACUACGUGCCAGCAGCCGCGGUAAUACGUAGGGUGCGAGCGUUAAUCGGAAUUACUGGGCGUAAAGCGUGCGCAGGCGGUUCGUUGUGUCUGAUGUGAAAUCCCCGGGCUCAACCUGGGAAUGGCAUUGGAAACUGGCGGACUUGAGUGUGGCAGAGGGGGGUGGAAUUCCGCGUGUAGCAGUGAAAUGCGUAGAGAUGCGGAGGAACACCGAUGGCGAAGGCAGCCCCCUGGGCCAACACUGACGCUCAGGCACGAAAGCGUGGGGAGCAAACAGGAUUAGAUACCUGGUAGUCCACGCCCUAAACGAUGUCGACUGGGUGUCGGGAGAGAGAUCUCUUGGUACCGUAGCUAACG